UACGGAGGGGGCUAGCGUUGUCCGAAGUUACUGGGCGUAAAGCGCGCGUAGGCGGGUUGGUAAGUCCGCUGUGAAAGCCCGGAGCUUAACUCCGGAGGGUCGGUGGAUACUGCCAGUCUUGAAGGUGCUAGGGGGAGAUGGAAUUACCGGUGUAGCGGUGAAAUGCGUAGAUAUCGGUAGGAACACCAGUGGCGAAGGCGGUUCUCUGGGAAUAUCCUGACGCUGAGGAGCGAAAGUGUGGGGAGCGAACAGG
rnacentral:rRNA from 1 species